UAAAAUCCAUUUAUGAAAAGAAGAAUGGGUUUAGGUGGUAUGCCGUGUGUGGUGACUUCUACCAAACUUCGAACAUAAUUUUUCAUCUUCAUGCUCUUGCUCAUUCGGCCAAUCCAUUCUCAACACCAUUGAAACUGAAUUUUACCCAAUCAAAUCACACUUUUAAUGCACAUAAUUCUAAUUCCCCUCACAUUCGGUAUCCAAUUUCAGUUCCAGUAAACUGAAGAUCAAAUCUAAUCAUGGAUAAUGAAGCUUCUUCCCUAAUUGAAGAGCAAACCCCCAAAAUCAAGAGUGACAAACCAGGUAUAUUAGGUCUAAUCAUGUCAGGAGUUAAUUGGUUACGAAUGCUAAGUAAUGAAUUGCAUUGGAGUUUUGUGAUGGGUGUGAUUUCAGUGUAUGGUAUAAGUCAAGGGUUAAGUAUGGGUUUAAGCCGUGUAACUAUGCAGUAUUAUAUGAAGGAUGAACAGAAGAUACAACCCUCUGAAGCUCAAAUUUCAAUGGGGGUUGUUAGAUUUCCAUGGGUUGUUAAGCCUUUGUGGGGUCUUCUCACUGAUGUUCUUCCUCUUUUUGGAUACAGAAGAAGACCUUACUUCAUUUUUGCUGGGCUUCUUGGGGCAAUAUCGAUGCUUAUCCUGUCCAUUGUUAAUGGACUGCAUCUUGUACCUGCUGUUCUGGCUCUCAUGGCAGGAAGUGCUGGGGUGGCUGUAGCAGAUGUGACUAUAGAUGCUUGUAUAACUGAAAAUAGUAGCAGUCAUCCUGCACUUGCUAGUGACAUGCAAAGUUUGUGUGGAUUAAGUUCUUCAAUAGGAGCUCUAGCAGGAUUCAUCAUCAGUGGGUUUCUUGUUCAUCUAGUUGGGUCCAAGGGUGUGUUUGGCCUGUUGACAAUUCCUCCUGCACUGGUAGUUUUGGUUGGUUUGACAAUUAAAGAGUCUGCUGUGCGGAACUUCUCUUAUAGUAGGGUAAAUGAGAAGUUUUUCGAUGCGACUAGAGCUAUGUUGACCACCCUCAAGUCCCAGCAUGUCUGGAAGCCAUGUCUUUACAUGUUUUUAUCGCUUUCUCUUGGCAUAAACAUCCAUGAAGGGCUUUUCUAUUGGUAUACAGAUGGAAAGGGAGGUCCAUUGUUCUCGAAGGAGAUUGUGGGAUCCAUAUAUACGAUCGGAGCUCUGGGGUCGCUCUGUGGGGUUAUUCUCUAUCAGAACAAGUUGAAAAACCGCCCUUACCAGGAUUUACUUUUCUGGACACAGUUAUUGCACUGUGCAUCAGGAAUGCUCGAUUUGGUUUUGGUGCUUCGUCUUAAUCUGAAAUUCUACGUACCCGACUACCUCUUUGUCGUAUUCGAUGAAGGUGUUUCUCAUAUGAUAGCAAGAAUUAAAUGGAUGCCUUUGCUCGUACUUAGUUCUAAGCUUUGCCCCACGGGGAUAGAGGGAACGUUCUUCGCCUUAUUAAUGUCCAUCGACCAAGUCGGAAUGCUUACCUCAACUUGGGCAGGAGGUUUUGUUUUACACAUUUUAAAUGUAACACGAUCAGAAUUCGAUAACUUGUGGCUUGCAGUUCUAAUCCGUAACCUUUUGAGAUUAACCCCAAUACUUUUGCUGUUCCUGGUGCCGAGGAUUGAUCCCAACUUGCCAGUGCUCCCUUCCGAAAUAUCAAAGACAAAAAGGGAUCAUGAAACGCUGCCUAAUGAGAAUAUCGAGAUGGCCAAUCUUCUUGAUUCAAGCUGAUCAUAUAGUCGAUUCAGUCACUGCUGCUCAGAAUUAACCCCCGAUAGAGUUAGAGCAUCUAAUAUCAGAUUGUUCAGAAAGUGAAAUCAAUCCAGAUUUCGCGUAUACACUCGUUGAGUCGUCAUUGAUUGAAAGUUUCAAGUUAUACAGUACCAGCAUACAGGUUAUACAAGUGUUCUGUCAAGAUUAUAAAGGCUCUGCAGUGUUAAUCCGUCAGCCGAAUUCUUAACAAAAGCUGAAUGCGCCAGAAUAUGUGGACUCAGGAACUCCAGACCGCUGGCAAAAAACACCCCAUCUUGUGGUCCCUUCUAUACUCAAUCUACAUAAGUGACUAAUCCCUCUCUCUCAAAGUUUUAGUUAUGCUGUACUUUUUACUUUUGUCGAUGCACAACUUUAAUAAAUAUCUUUAAUUAUACAUAAUUAAAAAUUAUAAAAGUUGAUAUUAAUAAAGUACAUAUUAUGAUACAACAUUAGAUUUCACGUAACUAUGUUUUAUUUUAUAGAUUAAGAAUAAAUAAAAGUUAAAAGCAGAUUGUUGAAAAGUACCAAAACCGUAGCUAGACAUGGGGAGUAGAUGUUAUCAUUCUAGGCUCCAUCAUUGCUUUACCAAUAAAAAUACUUCUAGAUCAUUUGGUGAGCAAGUAUUGUGAUUUGUGAGAACAACUUUAUUGUCCAACUCUAUCUCCACUUGGACUCUUUAUUUUGUUUUGUUAUUUGUGCCAAAUUCUCAACAUUCGUAUAUGUGUAUGUAUAUAAUAGUUGGCCCUUUUUUAAAUUUAAUUAUGAAUUUUUUUAAAAUAAAUUAUCUAAUUUUAACAUUUGAAUAUGUAUUUGUGUCGGAUAUGAGUUUUUAAAUCCAGGUUACGGUAGACCAAAACUUGCACCGACAUUUCUUUUACUGCAUUGAUGUAUUCUUCAAAUUUUUAGAUCUUUUCCUAAUACUUACUCAAAAAUAAUCAUGUCCUUAUCUAGUUACCCCCACCCGUACGGCCCCACCCCUCUUUUUUUUUUCCUUUCGUAAGGAAUUUUGAUCAUUUCUAUUUUGAAACUGUUGAUGUUAUUGGCAUUCAUUCUCAAAGGUAAAAUUAUUGAAUUUCUAAAUUCUACUUUAUCUGUCACUUUAAAGUUGCAACAAGUACAAAGAUUAAAAAAUUUGAAACGACAUAUAAAUUGUCGUGAAG